UGGCCCAGAGGAAGCCAGGG
rnacentral:piRNA from 1 species